rnacentral:rRNA from 1 species
GACGAACGCUGGCGGCGCGCCUAACACAUGCAAGUCGAACGGAGCCGAGAGAAGCUUGCUUUUCUUAGCUUAGUGGCGAACGGGUGAGUAACGCGUGAGUAACCUGCCCUGGAGUGGGGGACAACAGUUGGAAACGACUGCUAAUACCGCAUAAGCCCACGAUCCGGCAUCGGAUUGAGGGAAAAGGAUUUAUUCGCUUCAGGAUGGACUCGCGUCCAAUUAGCUAGUUGGUGAGGUAACGGCCCACCAAGGCGACGAUUGGUAGCCGGACUGAGAGGUUGACCGGCCACAUUGGGACUGAGACACGGCCCAGACUCCUACGGGAGGCAGCAGUGGGGGAUAUUGCACAAUGGGGGAAACCCUGAUGCAGCGACGCCGCGUGGAGGAAGAAGGUUUUCGGAUUGUAAACUCCUGUCGUUAGGGACGAUAAUGACGGUACCUAACAAGAAAGCACCGGCUAACUACGUG